GGCUUACCAUGCAGUCGAGGGGCAGCAUUUCAGUUUGCUUGCAAACUGGAGAUGGCGACCGGCGCACGGGUGAGUAACACGUAUCCAACCUGCCGAUAACUCGGGGAUAGCCUUUCGAAAGAAAGAUUAAUACCCGAUGGNAUAAUCAGACCGCAUGGUCUNAUUAUUAAAGAAUUUCGGUUAUCGAUGGGGAUGCGUUCCAUUAGGCAGUUGGUGAGGUAACGGCUCACCAAACCUUCGAUGGAUAGGGGUUCUGAGAGGAAGGUCCCCCACAUUGGAACUGAGACACGGUCCAAACUCCUACGGGAGGCAGCAGUGAGGAAUAUUGGUCAAUGGGCGCAGGCCUGAACCAGCCAAGUAGCGUGAAGGAUGACUGCCCUAUGGGUUGUAAACUUCUUUUAUAUGGGAAUAAAGUUUUCCACGUGUGGAAUUUUGUAUGUACCAUAUGAAUAAGGAUCGGCUAACUCCGUGCCAGCAGCCGCGGUAAUACGGAGGAUCCGAGCGUUAUCCGGAUUUAUUGGGUUUAAAGGGAGCGUAGGUGGACAGUUAAGUCAGUUGUGAAAGUUUGCGGCUCAACCGUAAAAUUGCAGUUGAUACUGGCUGUCUUGAGUACAGUAGAGGUGGGCGGAAUUCGUGGUGUAGCGGUGAAAUGCUUAGAUAUCACGAAGAACUCCGAUUGCGAAGGCAGCUCACUGGACUGCAACUGACACUGAUGCUCGAAAGUGUGGGUAUCAAACAGGAUUAGAUACCCUGGUAGUCCACACAGUAAACGAUGAAUACUCGCUGUUUGCGAUAUACAGUAAGCGGCCAAGCGAAAGCAUUAAGUAUUCCACCUGGGGAGUACGCCGGCAACGGUGAAACUCAAAGGAAUUGACGGGGGCCCGCACAAGCGGAGGAACAUGUGGUUUAAUUCGAUGAUACGCGAGGAACCUUACCCGGGCUUAAAUUGCAUUUGAAUANUNUGGAAACAGNNUAGCCGNAAGGCAAAUGUGAAGGUGCUGCAUGGUUGUCGUCAGCUCGUGCCGUGAGGUGUCGGCUUAAGUGCCAUAACGAGCGCAACCCUUAUCUUUAGUUACUAACAGGUCAUGCUGAGGACUCUAGAGAGACUGCCGUCGUAAGAUGUGAGGAAGGUGGGGAUGACGUCAAAUCAGCACGGCCCUUACGUCCGGGGCUACACACGUGUUACAAUGGGGGGUACAGAAGGCAGCUACCUGGUGACAGGAUGCUAAUCCCAAAAGCCUCUCUCAGUUCGGAUCGAAGUCUGCAACCCGACUUCGUGAAGCUGGAUUCGCUAGUAAUCGCGCAUCAGCCAUGGCGCGGUGAAUACGUUCCCGGGCCUUGUACACACCGCCCGUCAAGCCAUGAAAGCCGGGGGUACCUGAAGUACGUAACCGCAAGGAGCUCCUAGGA
rnacentral:rRNA from 1 species